AGCUGCUCACCAUCUCCCUUUUCCUUCCCAGAUCUCGGACCAACCGCAGCCGUCUCUCUUCCACCACUCGUCGCACCGCAGCCGUCUCUCUUCCACCACUCGUUGCACCGCCGCCAUCCGACACCGUAUGGUCAUGGCUUUUGUGCUACUCAUCUUGGGCGAAAUAGUUGACAAUGAAAUACACCUUCUCUGAACAUCAGUUCAGUUGGUAGGAUACCCACUGAUGAACCAAUCAACACAAGACCGGAUAUGUACCUUCAGUUGGGAAAAAUGUCAAUGAACUUCAGUACGAAGAUAAAGACUCAGGUGGUUUGCAAGUUGUUCCAUUUAGAGGUCAACUUGUCUACAUUCGACAAGGCCAUCAAGUAUUUGAUAAAAGCUUUAAGGUUCUCUAAGGAUCAAAACUCUGUUGUAACACAAUUUGCAAAUUUAAGUUUUACUAUCUUAGCUAGAAACUUUAGUUCUAUGUCAGAUUGUAUGGAAUGGCUUUACAUUCCAUUGAACCUUGUUGUAAUUGCUUCUAAUGUUUAUUAAUGUCGUUUAUCGUUCAAAAAAAAAAA